GUGGGAGGGAGGCAGGGAGGGACGGAAGGAGGAAGCCGGGCUGUUGAAUCAACACUGCAGAGCUGCCUGCGAGAGGAGAGAGAGGGAGAGCCGGGCUGGUUGCGAAGGACAGAUUUGCUGAGCCCACGAGAAAAUGGUUUGAGUAAUAAUCAACGCCUGCCGCUAUGUGGCCAGGAAGAUGAGGACCCUGUGCAGCCGGGAGCCCCGGGAGCCACCGCCCUGCCCGGAGCAGGCUGCGCCCCAAAGCCACCACCGGAAUGUAAAGGCAGAGCUUCCAGCACCCCCUGAAGCAACAACCUCACUCUCCAGCAACACCAAACCCAUCCAAUGCAGGUCCUGACAGUAAAAGCCUUCGUGGUCCUCCCAUGAAGGCCACAAGAUUUCUUCCCACUGAUUUUGGCUGGAAACCCUGUAUCCCAGGGAUUGGAAAACAUCAGCAAAUCCCUGCUGUAUCUGCUCUCGGCACAGAAGCCCAUUGAUAGAAAAUGUCCUCGUCAGUCUCUCGUGACCAGAAUUUUCUAGCUGGCAGGAAAAAAAAAAAAGAAGAUUCCCAAAGUGUAUCAGAUGCUCCUGGCACCUGUGGGAAUGUGGGAACACCAUGGAAUAUCAGGGGAGGAGCAGGAGCCAUUGCAUCCCAGCAGCAAAUCGCAUUUUUUUACUGUGAGACCAAACUGUGCUCCCAGUGACAUUGGUACAACUUCAGGCAAUUUCCAUGAAGGCAAAAUCAGUUCCUGAGCUGGAAUAAGGAGUCUCAAGAGCUCUGAUGUGUGGGAAUCCCUAUCCCUGUGCCCAGCCAGCACCCAGGGGAUGUGCAGCACCCCCAGAGCGGAGGCCGCAAGGACCACAGCAGGAUGUGCCCCCAAGCCCUGCACUGUCACAGAGCAAUGACAGCAGAACCCCAAACCCCACACAUGUGGGGGGGACUCUGCCCGACCCCCUCCUGUGACAGCUCAACCACAAGUAAAGGUGGAUGGAAAGCA